UUUUUUUUUUUCCUUUCUUUUUUAAGUUAGAAUGUCGGCAUUGGCAUAUUACCAAGAUGAUUAUUGAUACUAUUAUUACCACUUAUUGGAUAGUUAUGGAUUCAAUAGUCUAUCAAUGAUGAAUUAUGGUGUUGGCACAUAACCAAGAUGAAUUGUUAUGCUAUUAUUACCACUUAUUAGAAAGUUAACUUCUGGAUUCAAUAGCGACAUAAUCUUUUUAAAAUAACUCUGCAAAUUGGAAGAUUGUGGAUUGAGGCAAUUUAGUUGAGUAUUUUGAUCAAUUUAGUUGAGAUCAUUUGCAGGCUUUUUUUGAGUUGUGCAGAAUGUCUAUGUCUAUAUUAAUUGUAGGGUUAGGAGGACAGCUGAUCACAGUAUUGUUUGGGUUUUGACUUGUCCAAACAAGAGAGAAAAUGGUGCGCUUUUAAAAUUUCCAAGUAUAUUACAUACUUGGGGCUGUUCUUUUUCUUCUUUUCUUUUCUUUUUUUCAAGAUUUUCAUUUCAUCCUUCUUUAUAGGGUAAAUUUCCUUGUUAGUUCUGGAGAAAAAACCAAUUUUUUGCCUUAAGAGUAAAUUGAUUUGGCAAGAUCUCAUAAUUUUGGUGGUGACUGUCAGCAUAAAAAGUUUAGUGACUCAAGAAUUUAGUGUGAACUUGACAAAUCUUAUUUGUUACUUGCUAAAAUCUACUACAUUUGCACUACAAUUUGCUUUAUUUUUUCCUUGAAAAAGAAAAAUUAAAGUUGGUUUACUUGGUAUAAUAUUGAUGACAUAUUUUCUUUAAGUUAUAUGUUGUAUUUCCUUUCCAAGUAACAUAUUAAACUUACAAUCAGUCCCACGAGAAUUCUUAGACUAAAAUCAUAUCUCGUCUAAUCUAAACUUUUAUAUUUUCAUAUUUAUCAAUAAACAAAUCAUUGUGGAAGAUCAAUAAUUUUACUAAAAUAAAGGUGGAGAAUAAAAAGUUUCUUGCCCUAUUUUUUGUAAUUUAAAAUUUAGGACCAAACUAAAUCUUUAAAAUCUAGGGAAUAUUUCUAAAAUGGAACAAAAUUUUAGAAGUAAUUGUACGAAUAUAUGACAAUUAAACAAAUGUUUAGGCAAUUUCAUAUCAUAUUCAUGAGUGGUUGCUUUUAUUCAAAAUAACACAGUUUGAUAGAAAGUGACAUCAUCUUGAACUUUCAGUUUUUUCAUUCCAAAUAACCUUUUUGACAAAAAUAAUUUAUUUUGAUUUGAAGUGUUAACCUGCGCAUUGCACGAUUCAGAAUUCUAAUAUGUGUGGGCAUGUAUGAUGAUACACAUACGAAAUACGGUUUUUUAUUACCUUUUUCAACUUUUACCACUUUCUAUUACUGCUGUAUAAACAUUAAUUGCAUUAAUAUUAGGCAAAUUUACUGACAAAAUUUUCUUUAAUUUCAUAAGAUGCUACUAAAUUCUAUCACUACUAAUUAUUAAAUAUUCCUGUGGUGUUAAGGCAAGUGCGGUUAUGCUUUGAUCAAUUACCAUUACUAGAAUUUGAUGUACAGUUACCUUGUUCUGCAUUUUGUUCACCUUGGUAAUUGUAAAAAAAAAAAAUUAUCUUGGUGCUUUCUGCAUCCUUAAGUCAUCCAUUAUCUAACAAAUCUUUGUAUUUUUAAGACAUGAAUUACAUACCUAUUAUUAUCAGCCAAUACUAUUACCAAACUAAUUCAUUAUUACCUCCUUAUUCGUUAAGUACUUGGGACAAAAAAUAAGUACUUUAGUAUAUGGACAAAUCCAUCUACCUAUUUUUUUCUUUGGACGACAAUGAGUACUUGGGAGUUCUAGAAAUAUUAAAUAAUAUGCUAAACCGAGUUAUUCUCCCUCUAGAAAAAAAAAAAAAAAGCAAAUUAAUCAGUACAUUAAUUUAUUUUUAGUCCAUAUGAAUUGUUGAUUUUUGUUGGGAUAUUUUGGUCACUCUACAAAAGCAUAAGAGCUGCAGCUGACCAAAUAAGCGACGAAAUUAACCUUUAGGGAGCAAUAAUUAAAACACAUCUUUUAUCAGCUUUGCCCCCUGAAGGUUUAAUUGCACAAGUCCGUCUCAUAUACCAUUACACGUUCUUAAUUAGGUAUAAUUAAUCAGAUUGAUCCGGGUUGGAUCUCUUGUUCAUGUGAUUGCUGAAAUGGAUCUGACCGUCGAUCCGGUUCGGUGUUAAAAGUGGAUCAUAGAGCAGAUCUUUACUAGUACAGUCAAAAUACUUUUUGUGCCUUUUCAACUUCAAAUGAUGAUUAUUUUGGUAUCAAUUUAUGUGUUUUCAUACUAGUGAACUGAGGUAGCCAAGGCCCCAAAAAAUUUAGUUGAAUACAUAGUAACAAAUCUUUUUAGUACAUAAUGAACAGAAUUAUAUAUAGGAAAAAAUUGAUUAUCAAAACAAUUAAAAUUUUCUAGGAAGAGAAAUUCAAUCUAUGAAGUUAGUCCCCUAUUUAUUAUGAUUUGGACAAAGAUCUUUUAACCAAAAUUAUGUGUACAUAAUGAUAACAAAAAGGAAGAGAAAGCAAAUCCAUUAUGAGUGCAUUGUCGGCUUAAUAACAUUAUAUAGUUUUAGUUGUAAUUAGACAAAAAGCAGUCAUAAUGUUUCUAGGGCUUUAAUAAUUAGGAAAAGUUUAUAAGGCCACCAAGACCUAUCACAGCAUUUAACAUCAAUAAAAACAUAUAAACGUGCACAUUUUUCUUUCUUUUUGAGAGAAAAAACGAGUUAAUCCAUUCUUAUAAAUCCUAUCUAAUAGCAUUACAAAUAGGUAAGAACAUUGUCUCACCAAACAGCUCUAGAAUGCAAAUAGUAAUUUUAGAUAAAAAUAUGAACUGCCAUCUUUCCAAAUCUACAUAUACAAAUUCAAAACUAACAAUUUAUUUGAUUGCAAAAAUGUCUUCUUAAUUAAAAUUGAAUUUUCUAAUAAUAUUUUGUCAAGUGGCAGUCUAGGCUGAAAGUUUCGAUGCUAACUUCCACCACCAACCACAAUCCUUUGACAACCGCAAUCAUUUCAACUAGUUAAAUUGACAAGAUAUUACCAACUUUUUCAGUCAAAUAAUAAUGAUAUGUCCAGUCCACACUUGGUAAUCAUCUCAAACUCUUAUUACAUUAUCUAUCAUUAGAAACCACAAAAAAGAAUAAGAGUAUAAAAUCGUAUAGAACCAAUUUAAACAAAAGAUUUUGAAAUUUAAUUUUACACUUCUUUUAUUCUUGGGCCAUUAUUUCCUAAAAUUAAAAACUAUGAAAAUAAACUACCUAUCAUGGAUACAGGCAAGUAAUUGAACAUGAAGAGAUACGAAUAUUUUCUUCACAUCCUAAACUGCUAGGCCCAAUAAUUAUUCUACACAUCAUCCACCUUAUCUAGUAAAUAAGUACUUUGCACUAUGAAAAAACUUUAUAUAAAUUAAAAUGUCAAAAUAUUAUUAUCUAUCUACAAAUUAAGAGAUUGUGAUUAAUUUUUAAUUCGAUAGGCCUCACCAUUUCAUUUUAAUCAUCGUUUACCUUGAACCUUCACUUGUCAGAUUCUUCCUCCUCCAAUCUAAUACUAUCACCCUCUUAUCAAAUAAAAAUUUUAUAAAAAAUUAACAUUAAAACAAAUAUGUAUAAUAGCGUUUAUUAUUUUAUGGGGGGAAAGGUACUUACAAUUUUUUCUUUGUUAGCUUGAAAAUUCUUCAUGUAAUCACCACCCAUCCUUUUAUUAGCUUUAGGGAAUUUUUUUUUUCAAAAAAUAAAAAGGCCAAAAAGUAAUUUCAGAAUAAAUAAAUUUUUAAAAACUAAAAAAACAUGUUUCGUUAGACUAAGGGGGGAAAUUAUUCAUAGCAUCACAUACAAACUUCAACUUGCCUCCUUUAGGGGGAAAAAAGUUAGUUGAAAGAGGAAGCGGCGAGAAAAAGAAUAAGCAAAGGUUUAUGAUCAAGAGGCAAAAAAUGACAAAAAAAAAUUAAAUAGCACAUACCAGAGAAAAACACUAAGAGCAGAAGUUAUUGAUCAUAAUUAUUGGACUAUGCAAGAAAGGAAAUAUCAAACUCAUCCUUUAUCUCCUACAAUGAAAUCAUUCAUUUAGUUAAUUAUGGACAAAAUUGAAAGAAUAUUCAUCAACUAAUCCAAAUAGAGAAAAAGAGUGGAGUAAAAGAUUAGGAUGUAGAAAAAAAGAAAAGAGUAGAUGAGGGUUUGUUUAGUUGUCUUUAACCAGGAAGGAAAAAGGAAAUAAGAUGACCAAAGAAAAAAAAGAAAGAGAAAGAAAAGAAAAAAUGAAGAUAAUUUCCUCAAAAAACGAAGGUGCCACGUGUCGAGAUUAAACGACUUGACAAUCAUGGAAGUUGCGUCACUAACUCUACUUUCUCUUAUAUAAUAUAGAUAGAUAGAUACAUGAGACAAAUGUGGGAACUUAUAUUUUUAAAAAUUGACAAAGUAUCUCAACAUAUUAACUAACUUUUUCUAAAUUUAAUUGUUUUUAUUUUGCCGUCAAAUUUUAUCUCAAUCACAGAGGUAAUUUGUAAGCUAGCCAUUUUGAUAUAAUGGGGACAAAUGAUUGUGUUAUUGUCCCUCAAAGGUAAUUUGUAAGCAAGCCAUUUUGAUAUAAUGGGGACAAAUGAUUGUGUUAUUGUCCCUCAAGAUCGUAGCCAACCCCUGUCUAAUUGUCUUUAAUUAGUGUUUCACCUUCUUUUUUUGAUCGCGUUAAAUUAGUAUUUCAUCUUUCUUAUAAUUUUAACACAUACAACGAUCUUACUCGAGGUUACACCAAAUUAAAUCUCAAUCACAACUACGGACGUUCAAUGGGACAUAAUUAGGAGCUAAACGUGUCUCAACAAGUCAAAUAUUUUAGUAUUUAAGUUUGUUUGAUUAUUUUGACGAAUUUAAAAUUUUAUUUAAAUUUGACUUAUUUACUGCUUAAAUUUAUUGAACCAAAUUCAAGUUGAUUUCGAGUAGUUUGAAUCUUUUACAUGUAAAUUUCACUUGAAUGCUAAUGAAACAGGGCUCAAGUUGGGUUUAAAAGUUUAUCAAAUGCAAAUUACUAUUCAAAUCUGAUUUGAUUAAUUGACAAACUAAAUUCAAACCCAAUUCCAACCAAAUUGGGUUAUAGAUUCGAGAGUAGCUAGGUAAUUUGAUUCCUCUAGAUAUAAUCCCAUAGAAAAAGGGGAAAAAAUUGUAAAGUAAAUCACUCGAGAUGAUGCACAAAGUACACCAACCAUUACUAUAACGAACUUCUUUUCCCGCCUCUUCUCACUCUCUCUCUCUCUCACACACACACACACAACUCCAACUCUGCAUUCCACAUCUCCAAAAGAGGGAUAAAACCAAUACUUAUUCUGCCCCUAAAUCCCCCAGCAAUCAGCAAUCAAGAACUGGGUUUCAUGAAAAUCAUGAAGAUCUUGUUGGUUUUGCUGUCACUCGCAGCUGGGAUCACUACUCUUCUUGCGGAAGCUGACGGCCUGCGCCUUGAUUUCUACGAACAGAGUUGUCCAAAUGCAGAAAAAAUCGUCAUGUCCCAAGUCCAGAAUAUCCUCGCUCAGCCUCAGUUCCAGAACGCCCCAGCCCAGCUUCUUCGCCUGCUUUUCCACGAUUGUUUCAUUGAGGUUGUUCAUCUAAUUCAGAUGUUGAAAUGAGUGUUUUUCUUUUUGUGUUGUUUUUUCGUGUUCUUGAUGUGGUUUUGUCAUGGUUUAUGACUAUAUGAAGUUCUUGAUUUUCAGUUAGAGUGUUCUCUGUUGGUUAAGGAAGAUUUUAUGGGUUUAGAUUUCUGUUGAUUUUUCUGCAAUUUUAUGAAAUCAGAACUUGGUUUUCGGCUGAUUAAGUAUGUAAUAACUUCGGUUUUCAGCAUUAACGGCAUUGGAAAUUUUAUCUUUCUCUUUUAUUUUACUUGGUGAUUUUGCAUCGUGGGCAUACAUCAGAUUGGGGUUUUGGUGCCUCACAAUUUCGUGUGAUGAUUCUUGGGAGUUAGGACUGCCAGAAAGAGAGAAAAUUUUGUAAAAUGAUAGUACUAAAUGGAAUUUCUUUUAUCAAGAACCUAAUUGUAUUUUUUUAAUUGUAGUUACUUUGUCGUGAAAGACCUUUUUUUGGGUAGGACAAACAAGAUAUGAAUAGUUUGAUUUCUCUUACAGUAGUUAGGAUAUGGGACAGAGUGAAUAAUCCAUGCUUCAAAUUUGGUGUUAUAGAAGAUCUUAUCAUAGAGUCAGAUAGGAGUCUGCUUCUAAUUAAUGCCAAAGCUGAGCAAUUUCAUGAAUAGCACGAUGAGCCUGUUCAAUGACUUAAAAUUGUUAGUGAUGCAAAAUUGCAGGAGUAUGGACGUGAUCGUGUUUUUUUACGACAUUUGUUCCCACGACCUUGCCAAUAUUAGCAUCAUCAUGUAUUCAAGCAUAUGCAUUUGUUGUGCAAUCUUACUAUUUUUUGUCUAACAUCCCAAAAAAAAAGAGAGCAAAUAUUAAGGACAGUAAAAAGCAUAUGCAUUUGUUGUGCAAUCUUCCUAUUUUUUGUCUAACAUCCCAAAAAAAAAAAAAAAGAGCAAAUAUUAAGGACAGUAAAAAGCAAGUAAAUGAGUGGGGGAGCCAAAGUUGCAGAGUAACUCAUUCAACUAAUGCUUUUGGUUUAACUUUCAGAUAAGAAUUUCAAUAUUUAUUUACAUUGGAAAACUUAGUUCUGCAUCAUGCUACCGAGAAAAAUCAUUCCCCAAUGUGGUCAAGUAGUCUAAUCGGGGCUUAGCUUUUAUUAUCUGUAUGAUUCAGACCUCGCUUUGACGUUCUGUUAGUCUUUCUUGUGCAUCAACUUCUUGUUGUUUUCAUUCUUUUAGAGAAUUGAGGUGUUGGUCUGAUGUCAAUUGCUGAAGUUGAAUUGUUGUUUAUUAUCAUCUGUAUUCACACGUAUAUAUGUUGAAUAUGCCUCCAAGUGAAUGCCUUUCGGUGGUGGAGGUGGAAACAUUGGAAUCAGUGAACACUUAAUUAUCCUGAUACUCUAGGGAAAGAAUUUUGGCUUGAUAUCUUUGUUGAAUUCUGAUUCUGAUGUUCAGCACUCUCUGUAUUGUGGAGAAAUUGUUUUAUCCACUAAGACCACAUAUUACUGAUUAUGUUUUUUGUCCUUAAGUCAUUUGUGAUUGCUUGUUCAUUGCAAAUCAGUAAUGUUCAUUUUCUGUUGUUUCCAUAUUUUCAGGGAUGUGAUGCAUCUGUCCUGUUAACAGACACCAAUGGAACUUCAGUCGUUGAAAGACAAGCAAUACCAAACCGGACAUUGAAAGGCUUUGAGUUCAUUGAUAUGAUAAAGGAGGAGCUGGAGAAGGAAUGUCCUGGGGUGGUAUCAUGUUCAGACAUAAUGGUCUUGGCAACUAGAAAUUGUAUUCUUUUGGUAUAAGUUCUAUUUUUGAACUCUGACUACUUUGUUGUGUUUCCUUUUUACUUAAAACACUUACUGGGGACCUCUAGUGAUUAUUUUUCUGAUAUCCCUCAAACUUAACAAUAAUGAAUAGUUUAAACUAUAGGAGUUUGUGGGAGAUCUGUUUCCCUUUCUUGUAGCAUGUUGAUGAUCUACCUCUCGGUGAUUUAUGUAUUGUUUGAAGAAGUGUGACUAUCUAAAGAACUGUUUAAUUUUGGUUUCCUCUGAAAAAACAUAAGCCUGAUCUGGUUUAAAGAGAGGUAUUAAAGAAGAUCUUAUGAUGACCAUAUGUCAUUCUGGUGACACUUAGUGCUGUUCUUGAUACAUUGAACGUUCUCCACCCCUUGAACCACUUCAAACAGGGAAAAGUCUGUUAAACAUUGCAAAACCAAACUCUUCUAAACGUUUCAUAGAUCCAUUGUUCUUGCCAUAGAUUCAUUAUUGGUCCAUCUAAAGACCUACAGCUGCCCUAAUCCAUAUAUAAGCCUGUUUUCUGUCAUAAAUUUAAGCCUAUCCAUGAUUUCAAAUAUCAGUUUGGAGUCUGAUUUAUUUUGCUUUCUGUAAGCUAGAAGGUUCUUGAUGUGCUUCAUCUACUGUGGUCAAUUUAUUGGCACACUCACUCUGCACUUCUUUUCAGUUUUCUCCUUAAUGUUUUUUGGGUUUCUGAAGUCCAUUUUCUUUUUCGUAGUCUGGUGGGCCAUAUUAUCCAGUAUACACUGGCAGAAGAGACAAUAAUCAGUCCUUCUUCAGUGAAGCCUUAUCUGACAUCCCAAGACCGAACGGAAAAAUCUUUGAAGCACUCCACUUGUUCUCCCUCAGAGGCUUCAACACAAGGGAAACUGUUGCGCUACUUGGUAUCCACUAAUUUGUUCUGUUUUUACUCUUCUAAGAUUUCUUUUUAUUAUAAGAAUAGAGUCGUGUUAAUUGACAAAUGUUUGUUUUUGAUCUUUUGCACAUGCAGGGGCGCAUAAUAUUGGUAGAAUCAGUUGUCAAUUCAUUCUACCAAGGCUUGGCACCAACUUCUUGGAUGAAGGGUCAGCUGAUUCAACUCUUCGUGAUGGCUUCAUCGAGGAAAUAAAACUGAAGUGCCAAAAGAGUAAUAGCAGUUUCAGCAAUACUGAAUCUUUGGUGAGUUCACUGGGUGUGACUGAGGCUAACUGGUCAAUGUCUUACUUUGAAGAAGAAUUCUCAUCUUCAUCAUCUCAAUCUGCCUUUGGCACUCAUUACUAUCAGAAAUUGAUGAUAGGAAGAGGUCUUCUCUUUGCUGAUCAGCAGUUGAUGGCCAAUGAGGAGACAGCACGAAUAGUAGAGGAAUAUACUUUAGAUGAUGGAACAGUAUUUCGAAGAGAUUUUGCUCGUGCCAUGGUCAAAAUGUCCAACCUUGUCUCACUAACUGGUUCACAGGGACAGGUUCGGCUCAAUUGCUCCGUUGCACUAAAGUCAUCUUGAUUCAACCUUUCAGAAUAAUCCCUCUCACUCCAACAGUUUGGACAAACUGUACAUCCUUUUAUCUUUUACAGCACAUGUUUCCAAUCUGAAGCUUCAGCUUCAUGACGACUGAGGAGUGCACUUGUACCUUUUGUUUUACGUAAAAAAGAAGUCUGCUGUUGCAUGAGGCAUCUUGAUACUUCAUUUUUAGAGGCACAUUUACACAAUUAAAGAAAGUGCUGAUGAAGAUAUUCAACUUUUGGCUUUUGUUCUUGAAACAUUUGCUUUAAGAUCUCUGGCCAUAACCAUGUAGGCUAUGAUCUUCCUGAUUUGCCGUACAUUCUUUGAUGCAGUUCUAUGUAGAAGUACAGUGUGCACUGUAUGAUCUCUCAGGAUUCUGGUCUUAUACGUGUACACAAUGCUUGCUCAUACCUGCUAUCGAGGCACAGAAAUGGUUUAAUAGCGUACAUGGUUUUAUUGUACACAUGCUUAAUGCAAACAGAGAUAUCUAACACACUUUCUCCAUCUCUUUAAUCUCCUUUCUGGGAUGAUGCGUCCAGAGAGAUGGAUUAAACAUGGCGGUAUAUAGAUUAAGAAAAUCAUUGGUGUGAAACUUGUAUGGAUCUUUGUGAGGAAGAAGUUUGGUUAAAUAGAUUUUGAGUAGCUAUGAAAGAUAACUCAGUGUUACCUGUAAUCUUCGUCUUCUUGUGUGAGGACCCGAAUUUUACUUACUUUUAUUUUAUUUUAUUUUAUUGGCUUAUUUAAUUAUUUAAUUAUUCAUUUUCUCCAAUUAAUUUAUUUCAUCCAUUUUAAUUUCAUUUGCAUGGAACAAUGUCUCAUUUUAUAUUUUAAAAUGUUUUGCUAGUAAAUUUAAUUUUUCUGCAGCUCGUUUAGUAAGGAAUAAUGAAUACACGUUUUUUGAGAUAAAAUUCGAUCCAAGAAUGCAAUGAUCUUGGGGAAUUAAGGAUGAUCAAUAGUAGAUUAAGAAAAGUUAAUUGAGAAAUUAGAGGUGAGUGAGUUAAAUUAAGCUCAAUUAGGAGCACUAAUGGUCUCCUAUUUAUAUGUUGAUUUUUUGUACCAAAAGCACCUUUAUGUCAUAUCUUUCUUUUACUUCAUCACUUCACCAACUACCACACAAAACCUCUCUUUCUCUUCUCUUCUUGGCCGGCUCUUCCUCCACUUUUCUCAACCAAAAUUUCAGCUAGCUUUCUUCUACUUUUGCUCCGAGAACACACUCCAAACUUGCUCCUUUUCUUGGUUCAUUACACAAGUUUGAAGGAUGACUUGAAGGAGGAAAGAACUUUGGUGGUUUAGAGCUUAUACACUAGUGGUUGGAUUUCAUUUUUUGGAAGCAAGGUAAUACUCCAAAGCUCAUCUUUUCCUCUCAACUUAUAGUAGUUAGUUAGUUCUAACUAGUUAGACAUUGGGUUGUUGAUGGGUCCAAUGGACCUUGACUCUAGGUAGAGGACUUGAGGUGGCUUUUAGGUAGAGGUCUUGAGAUUAUUGUAUGUUUACUUGGUUGUUUGGUGCUUGUUUUGAUGAGUUAUGGCUUAGUUGUGAGUGGGAAGUUGAAAAGAAAACUUGAUGAAAGAAGGAGGCUUGCUGGCCAAAAAUUUACUGGUUGAUUCCCUCAUGUUAAAUUCAAAUUUUAUUGUUAACUUGGUUCUAUAAUGCUUGUUAUAUAUUGAUGUUUAUGUGUGUUAAAUAUCUCCUUAAAAGCAUUUCAAUUGGUUGAGUGAAAAUUGGGUUAAAGUGAGGAAGAAAUCUGGAAAAUUUUCUGAUCAGGAGACCAAACCAGUGCAUACAUUUCAGCCCAUAACUUUUUGUCCAAGAGUCAAAAUCGCAUGCCGUUUGUGGCAUAUGAAACUAGACUCCGAGGGCUUUCCAACGGUAUAAAAUCAACCACUAAUUCGUUUUCUAUGAACCGUAGUGAUCCGGCAAAGAUGACUGAUUUUCCUCACUGUUUUCAUCCGAGAAACAAGCAUAGCUGCAGUUUGUAGCUCAUUUUUACUAUCUUGAAAAAUGAAUUUUAAGACAGUUCCUUCUAGUGAAUUUUAGCAUUUUGAAUCUAGUUUUCAAUUCCAUAAACCACACUAAAUUUUGAGCUGUGUAGCUCAAGAUAUGACCAGAUUUUGAAACUGUGUUAAGUGCUUCAAAACUGGAAAUUUCGUGAAACAGAUUCCAAAAAUCAGCUUUCUUUAAACUAUUGUAUCGUGGAAUAGAAAGGUCCAAAUUGAGUUCCGUUUGUUACAUUUUAAACUAGAUUUGGAGUUCUAUUAGUGGUAUAAAUUUCAAGGGCUGAUUCUAUUUCUAUGAAUUUUGCCGAAUUUUCAAAAUUUACUGAAAUUGCAAGCCUGUUUUGCUCUGUUCUGUCUGGAACAGUGAUUUUGAACUACGAUCUAAAUGAUUUUGGAUUGGAGUCUGGGAAAAGUGUCUUCUAGAGUUUCAGUGCAUUGGGUCUAGUUUCCAACAGUAUAAAGUUUCCAAAUUUUGGACUCACGUAACUCGAAAUAUGAUUUUUCCAAGUGGUGUCGCACCAAGCUUAAAUUUUCUGGUUUCAAACAAAGUACUCUUUUAAGAACUUUCAAUCUUCCUUUGAGAUUGUUAGGCCGUUUUAAGUUUGAUUUCAUGGUUUGAUACAAGGUCUCUUUGAACAUUAGGCCUUCAUUUUGAAUCUUGGUUUCCAAAGGAUUAAACUUUCCUUAAUGUGUUUUCUUGGUUGCUUAACUUUCUUGGAUGAUUGCACCUCACCUUAUACUUGAAAAAUGGAUUUCAAACCCUAAUCUUAUGCCCUUGAUUUUCAUGAGAUUGAACUCCAAAAAUGGAGCGUUUUAACUAGAGUAAUUCUUGGAGAAUUUCACUAGUUUUAAACUCAAAACUUGGAAUCGUUAGCUUUAACAUUUACUAUGGAAAUGAGUGGAAUUUUGAUGAAUUCUAACUCCAUUAGUUUAGAAAAUGUGAACGUUCCUUAUAUUCUUAAGACUUGGAUGUAAGACUAGAAGUUGUGAGAGAUGAAAACCAUUCUUACUUUUCUCGAUUUUUGUGCCGAAAGUAUAUAUGAUAUUUUCUUUUGAAAUUGAGAUUACUUGUCACGACUUGAAUCGAAAACACCCUUUGAAUUCUCUUUGAGCAUUAUUUCAAUGAUUUAGCGAGAAAAGCUCCUUUAACUUGACUUGACUUAUGACCUUGAGAGUGGGUAGCAAAAAAAUAUUUUUCUUUAUAACCUUAGUCGAGUACCUAGGUAAUCGUGAUUGUGUAUGUCUCAAGUGGUCACGAGGACGCCAAAGAGCUCAUCUGACUUCUCGCUUUACUCUUGUUUUGCCUUAACUUUUGGUGAGUGUCAAGUGCAUGUUCAAUGUUAAUGUGAUUGAAAUGAUAUUUGUACAAGUACUAUAUGAUACGUGAACUUGCCGAGACGAGAGUGUACUUUACCGCCCUCGUCAUUUCUCUCUCUCUUGAUUGAAUGAUACUUGUUAAAUGAAUGUAUAUCACGUGCACUUGUACUUGAACAUGUUUUAAUUCGUGAGCACUAAGCGGCAGCAUGUACCAUACCCUAUUCGGGUGGGAGGUGCCUCUCAUUCCGACUCAGUACUAUGAUCGAUUCUCUGAGCGGUAGCAUGCACCACACCCUAUUCGGGUGGGAGGUGCCUCUCAUCCCGACUCAGAGCCAUGAACAAUUCUAAGUCAAUUGGAGCGUUGUCUCAUCGACCAAUUAUAUUUGCGAGGACGUCCCAACCCAUUGGCUAACCUUGUAACUCGAGCCGGCAAGGGCUUGGUCGAGAAGCUUGGUGAACCUUGGGAAAUUUUAUAGUUUGAUCUUUUGAAAUCUUGCUUGGCAUACUCAAUUAGUAUUGCCACCUGAUGCGUGUUCGGUUCCAAAUCCAAGAGGGUGUUAUGUUGGAUGGAGGAAGUAAGUGAAGCACUAUAGUCAUGUUGUUACUUGAGUUGACGGAGAGUCAACCCCAGAUAGCUUGAAACGGUCGAGACGUGAAAAUAGGUCCUGAGAGCUCCUGUAUCCUUCCUUGUGUGUUUAUUUCCUACUUGUGCAUUUAAAUGAAAGUUCAUGUUAAAGAUGCUUUCAAACAUGCUAUUCGAUUAAUUGGUUCCACGUGCUUGCUUGUUUUCUUGGCCUCACUGAACAUUAGUUCAUCCCUUUAAGUUUGUUCUUCCUUAACAGGCUUUGGAGGUGGAAAUUGGAGAUCUUAGACUAGUGACUUUUGGUUGAAACUAGUAUACUUAUGUAUGUUAUUGGAGACCAUUAAAGUGUAAAUUUUGUUAUUUUGGUUGGCAGAUUGUAAUUAUAAUUGCUAGCCUAGAAGUUGUGGCUUGUAUAUUCGAAGUAUUUCUUAUUUAAGUCGAUGGUUGAUUUGUGACUCUAUAUUAAGCUUGAACGAAUACAUGAGUCCUAACGAAAGUUGGGCAAGCAUCCCGUUGAUACCCUAGGGUUCGCUCUAAGGAGAGGUGGGGGCGUCACAUCUUGAGUCAGCAGCAUGAAGCCUACACUUCUGUUUUCCAAGAUCGAACUAUUAUUCUGACUGAGAGUGGUUAAGUCGAAUAGAGAAAUUAGGAAUGGGCCAGGUGGAUUAGUUGCAAAAGUAAAUGGAAGUUCUUAGCAUUGGUCAGAUGCUUUAUAUGAACUUCCUCCAUUUUGAAUGUGUUUGCAAAUACAACUUUGUCCAGACUUUGAAGUUUCUUCCUAAAUCAAGGACCUAAAAGAAUGAAGUACAAGAAGUACUCGAUUCACUUUGUCUGAUAAGAAUCCAAGAUCUUGAAGAAAAUCCUCAAGCCUGCACAUAUAUCACAGCUCUUGAAUUUGAGAAAAAAAAAAAAAAAAAAAGUCCAGGCACCUUCAAGUUUUAAAGCUUAAAAUCACAGAUUUAGUCUAUACUCGGCAGGUAUACUUUUUUCACAACCUCUAAGAUCAGAUCAGCAAAGUCGCUUCAACUGAGACGUGAACUUCAACACUUUCUCUCUUUAUGUAAGCCAAUUCCUGGCUCUUUCUUAAAUUGAUUCUAUCGUCUUUGUUAAAGAAUUGAGCUUUUCCUUGCUUUUAUUCAUCUUAGUUUGGAUCUCGUCUUUGUACUUAUACAUCGAGCUAGAUUUUAUUCUGUCAUUACCCAAGUGUGUAUGAAUAUAGAGCAUUAGACUAUCUUAUACAUUUAUGGCAUAUAAGAGCAUAUUAUCUACUCAUGCCUUAACAUAUCUUUAAUAACACGUGUAAACAUUCUGCUAGUACAUUCAGAUGCUUCUUGCCAAAAUGAACAUAUGUGUUGAAUAGCAUGAUUUGUGGAACUGCUAACAGAUUGUAGUAGUUAGUUAUUCACUUUGCUAUUUUUUAGGCAAUAGAUAAGUCAAAGUACUUGAUAUGAUUCUGAUUCUAGGAUCUUAUCUCUAGCAAAUCUUUUUCCAGAGUUUUCUCUAAUUCUAUUUUCUUUAUGCUAUAUAAAAGCAUGGCUUAUAAGUCAAUAAAAUGUGACUUCUACAAUACAAAAGUUUUCACUCUUAUUCUACUUUCUCUACUCUAAUAAACCAACAAAGUGGUAUCAGAGCUUUCAUCUUGAGGGAUCUGUGAGGAUUGAGAGGGCUUAAACACCUUCUUUAAACACUUAUUACAAUGAAUCCAGAAGUUUCCUCUAUUCAUCAACUUGGACCUCCCAUAUUUGAUGGAACAAAUUAUCAAAUGUGGGCUGUCAAAAUGGAAGCCUAUCUUGCUGGAAAUGAUUUGUGAGAGGCUAUAGAAGAUGAUUAUGAAGUACUUCCUCUUCCAAACAAUCCAAUAGUUGCUCAAAUGAGACACCAUAAUGAGAGGAGACAAAGGAAAUCGAAAGCCAGAACAAGUCUAUAUGCAGCUGUCACAUCCACAAUCUUUACCAGAAUCAUGACGUUGAAAAUGGCGCAUGAGAUUUGGAAUUUCUUGAAGAAUGAAUAUGAAGGAGAUGAAAAAAUCAAAGGGAUGCGAGUGUUAAACUUGUUUCGAGAAUUUGAGAUGCAGAAGAUGAAAGAAUCAGAAACUAUCAAGGACUAUUCUGACAGACUCCUUGAUAAAGUCAAUAAAGUAAGACUCCUUGGCACUGAUUUUUCUGAUUCAAGAAUAGUUCAAAAAAUUCUAGUUACAUUCCUUGAAAAGUUUGAAGCUACAAUCGCGGCCUUAGAAAACUCAAAAAAUCUGCCAAGUAUCACCUUGGCAGAAUUGUUAAAUGCACUGCAGGCAUAAGAACAAAGACGACUGAUGAGGCAAGAAGGAUCGAUGGAAGGUGCCAUUCAAGCCAUAUCACAAAACAACAACAGAGGCAAGAACAAGAACAGCCAAAAGGUGCCUGGAAACAACAAAUCUCAAGAAUUUCCACUUUGCCUUUAUUGCAAAAAAAAAAAAAAAAACCAAUCAUCCACAGAAAAGGUGUUGGUAGAACCUAGAUGUAAGAUGUCACAAAUGUGGUCAGGUAGCGCAUGUGGAAAAGAUAUGCAAGUCUCAACAGCAACAAGGAGAAGCCAAAGCUACGGAGAAUCAACCUCAGGAGGAGCAAUUGUUUGCAGCUUCAUGUUGCGCUACUAAUAGCUCCAUGGAAAGCUGGCUUAUAGAUAGUGGUUCUUCAAACCACGACUUUUGAUCGAGAGCUUUUCAAAAAGCUUGAUAAAACUGCUAUUACUAGAGUCCGGAUUGGAAAUGGAGCUUAUCUUGCAGUAAAAGGCAUAGGAACAAUGGCAAUUGAAGGGUACAUAGGUUUGAAAUUAAUUUCUGAUGUUUUAUAUGUUCCAGAAAUUGAUCAAAACCUUUUGAAUAUUCCUCAGUUAUUGGAAAAAAUUAUAAGGUGCUAUUUGAAGAUAAAAGUUGCAUUGUUAAAGAUCCAGAAGGUAGAGAAAUGUUCAGAAUUCAAAUGAAAGGCUAAAGUUUCGUUUUGGAUCUUAUGAAAGAGAAGCAAGCAGUUGUACACAAAGAAGUUAGCGAUGUAGAUGUAGUGCUUUGGCAUAAGAGGUUGGGCCAUUUUCAUCAUGCUGCUCUGCUGUUCAUGAAGAAAAACAAUUUAGUAAAAGGUAUGCUUGAGUUAGAUGAAGAGCUUCCUACAUGUGCUGUUUGUCAAUAUGGGAAGCAAUCAAGGGUUCCUUUUCCCUAAAAUAUAACUUGAAGAGCUACACAUAAGCUGCAAUUGAUACAUACAGAUGUAGGAGGACCUCAAAAAAUACCAUCAUUGAAUGGUAGUAAGUUUUAUAUUCUCUUCAUUGAUGAUUAUACUAGAAUGUAUUCGAUUUAUUUCAUGAAAUUCAAAUAUGAGAUUGCUGACAUCUUUUGGAAGUUUAAAGCGUGGGUUGAAAAUCAAAGCAGUUGCAGCAUGCAGGUGAUCAGGUCCGAUAAUGGAACUGAAUAUACCUUAGAAAAAUUUAACAAAUUUUGUGAAGAUGCAGGCAUAGAGCACCAACUGACAGCCCCUUACACUCCCCAGCAAAAUGGAGUGGUGAAGCGUAAAAAUAGGAUGCUUAUGAAGAUGACAAGAUGCUUGUUGCAUGAUAAAGGGCUGCCAAAGAAAUUGUGGGUGGAGGCUAUGAAUACGGCAAUUUUUUUACUAAAUAGAUUACCAAUGAAAGCUCUGUAGAAAAAGACGCCAUUUGAAGCAUGGUAUGGCUACAAGCCAAAAUUGCUUUAUCUAAAGACUUUUGGUUGUUUGUGUUUCUCUUAUAUUCGUCAGGUUAAAAGAGACAAGUUAGACAAGAAAGUAGAGUUGGGGAUUUUUGUAGGCUAUUGCUCAUCUUCAAAGGCCUAUAGAAUCUACUCACCACUAAGUAACAAAAUAAUUGUGAGCAGGGAUGUUAAAUUCCUUAAGCCAGACAGUUGGAGUUGGGAAAAUAAAGAUAAAUUUGAAUUGCAGGUAGGGAAUGAUAAUGUUGAUGAAGAACCUGUUAAAGGAACCAGAUUACUCUCUGACAUUUAUCAGAGAUGUAAUGUUGCUGUUAUGGAGCCUGCAGGAUAUAAAGAAACAGCAACUGAUCAGAAAUGGAUAGUUGUAAUGAAGGAGGAGCUUAAAAUGACAAACAAAAACCAAACUUGGGAGUUGGUGGAUAGACCUACACACAAAAAGGUGAUAGGUGUCAAGUGGGUUUGUAGAACCAAAUUCAACUCUGAUGGUUUUGUAAACAAGCACAAGGCAAGAAUCAUCGUUAAGGGACAUGCUCAGAUGUUUUGAUCAGAUUUCUCUGAAACGUUUGCUCCGGCUGCCAGAUUGGAUACCAUACGAAUGUUGUUGGCUCUUGCUGCAUAAAAAAGCUAGCUUAUACAUUAAUUAGAUAUUAAGGCUUUUCUAAAUGGAUACCUAGAGGAAGAAAUAUUUUGUGGAGCAACCUAAAGGAUUUGCUAUUCAAGGAAAAGAAAAUAAGGUGUAUCGCUUAAAAAAGGCACUGAAUGGUUUAAAACAGGCACCGAGGUCUUGGCACAACAGAAUUGAUGCACAUUUGAUGAACUUAGGCUUUGAAAAAAGUCUGAGUGAAUUUACCUUAUAUAUCAAAAAGGUUGAUGGUGAAAUACUUGUGAUAUCUUUAUAUGUUGAUGACCUUCUUGUUAUAGGAAGCAGCAAGGAGUUGAUUGACAAGUUCAAAAAGGAGAUGGAAGACGUCUUUGAAAUGAUUGAUAUUGGUAUGAUGUCAUUCUUUCUUGGUAUGAAGAUACAAUAGAAGCAAAAUGAAGUGUUCAUAUGCCAGCAAAAGUAUGCAAAGGAGGUCCUGAAAAAAUUUAACAUGGAAGGAUGCAAAUCAAUUGCUACUCCAAUGAAUCAAACAGAGAAGUUUUGCAAAGAAGAUGGAGCUGAAAAAGUUGAUGAAGGGCUGUAUAGAAACUUAAUAGGCUAUUUAAUGUAUUUGACUGCAACCAGCCCAUAUAUCAUGCAAGUAAUGAGUCUGCUAUCAAGAUACAUGCACUGUGCUUGUGAAAUUCAUUUUCAAGCAGCCAAAAAGAUUUUGAGAUACGUUAAAGGUACUGUUGAUUAUGGAAUAAGGUUUAGUCAAGUUAGAAAUUUCAAUUUUCAUGAUUUUUCUGAUAGUGAUUGGGUUGGAUGUGCAGAUGAUAUGAGGAGCACCUCAGGUUACUAUUUUACUUUUGGGUUUGGAAUCUUUUCAUGGUGUUCAAAGAAGCGGGAUGUCAUAGCUCAAUCCACUACAGAAGCGGGAUGUCAUAGCUCAAAGAAUAUGUAACUACCGCUGCUACUGUGAAUCAAGCACUUUGGAUAAGAAAACUCAUGACUGAUCUACACAUAAAAUAGGAAGAAUGCACUCAGAUAUUUGUUGACAACGAGGCUGUAAUUUCUAUUUCUAAUAAUCCAGUUGUUCCAUGGCAAAACGAAACAUUUCAACAUAAAGUUUUAUUUUUUAAGAGAAAUGCAAAAGAAGGGAGAAGUGCAGUUGAUUUUCUGCAAAACAGAAGAUCAAAGUGCUGAUAUGUUUACAAAGGCUCUUCCCAAGGAAAGAUUUGAGUUCUUGAGCCAAAAGCUUGGAGUACACAGUUCCAAAACCAAGGAGGAGUGUUGAAUAGCAUGAUUUGUGGAACUGCUAACAGAUUGUAGUAGUUAGUUAUUCACUUUGCUAUUUUUUAGGCAAUAGAUAAGUCAAAGUACUUGAUAUGAUUCUGAUUUUAGGAUCUUAUCUCUAGUAGAUCUUUUUCCAAAGUUUUCUCUAAUUCUGUUAUCUUUAUGCUAUAUAAAAGCAUGGCUUAUAACUCAAUAAAAUGUGACUUUUGCAAUACAAAAGUUUUCAUUCUUGUUCUACUUUCUCUACUCUAAUAAACCAACAAUAUGAAACCAGACUAAUUUGCAUCAGCAUAUUCAGUUUUGUAAUUUUGUAUUGGACAUUUAGAAUGCACAAGAACCUCUCCUAUAAUAUGAAUAUCUAUUCCAAACACUGAUGUUUCAAAAAAUCGUCCAAUGCUAAUACCCAAUUUGAAAACAUUUUGAGAUUCACUACAAAAUUUCCACACUCCAAGAAUUUCACUCCAGGCUGAUGCUCAGUACAAUACUUGUAGACACCAAAAUUUUAACAUUUUAUUUCUAUUUUUGUGCACUUGAGUUAAAUUUUAUUAUUUAUUUUAUUUGUUUCAUUUCUAUUUUUUGGAAAAAUCAUUUUUAGAAAAUCAAAAAGAAAGAAAGGAAAAUGCAGAAAAAAAUUCAAUGAAAAUGCAGUUUUUCAAAAAAAAAAAAAAAAAGAGAUCUUUUUCGUACAUGGCCAUUGACGAGGCCAUGUACCAGAUUGCAGCUACCAUUUUGGGUCCAAUUUCCACUUGAAUCCGGCUCCAUUUUCUUCCUUUUCAAGUCUUCUAGUACAAGUGCCAGAUCAACUACCAAUUCUUAUCCAAAACCCAUCAUCUAAUGGUCCAUAAUCAAUCUCUAAAAUCUAACCCAUCCCCAUCGUGGCUCCAAGGGUUUUUGGGGGUUUUGUGCCAUAUAAAUGGAUGAAAACGCAUCCAAGUACAGAGGGGAGGAGAAAAGGGGGCGGCGGAGAGAUCAAAGGGAGAGAAAAACAGCAAAAAACGGGGAGAAAAGGAGAGAGAAAGGAAAAGAAAAAAUGCAGAACAUGAGCCAGGGUUGAUCGUUUGGCUCACUUGGUGAUCAAAAUAUGAUCUCAGUUUUGCCCCUUUGGGUGUUUUCUUUAUAUCUGUACCAUCUACGUUCAUCAGUGAACAAUUCUUAUUCAGAUAAUCUUUGGAAAAGACGCUUACAAGUCUCUUGAAUCUGGGCCAAAACUCAUCGCGCCAUCAAUCAUGAAGUGGGUUUCCAGAAGUUGUCAACUUCAUUUUCCAGCUCCUGAAUUCGUCUUCCUUCCAAGUUUACUGCAUAUUUUCAUCAAAGGUAACCCCUUUUGCUCAUUACCUAGCCGUAUAAGCUUAAAUCUUUUCAAAUCCAUCAAAAAUCUGGUUGCAUCUGUGCUUGUUUUGUUUUCUUUUGAUGUUCAUUUUUUAGUUUAGAUUUUGGGGUAUGAUCUUGUGUUAGAUCUUGGAAGAUUGAGUUUUGGUGAUAGAUCUGUACAAUUUUCUUGUUUUGGUCGGAAGUUUUGAUGUUUCGUUUGGACUUUUGCCUGGAUUUGAUAACCGAGAAAAGUGCAGAAGAAAGCCUUCUUCGUAACUUUGCAUGCAAAAUUUCAACAAUUGCACUUUAACCCCCCAACUCCGAGAUAAUCCCACUACAGCUCAAAAACUCCUGCAAAUCAAUCAAUUUUGCCCCUUUUUACUUUAAUUUUUUUUCAUAUUUUAAGUGAUUUAUUGGAUAGAUUAAUUCUGGGUUGUAGGACGUAAUUAGACCUUAAUUGUUUUUAGAUGAUUUAUUAUCUUAUUGGGUUUUUGGUAAAAUAAGUGUAGUUUUGGGUUGUUGUUUGUUUGUUUGGGUUUUGAUAGAAAAGUUGGGUUUAUUUUCUGGGUUUUGACUUGGGCUUAGGAGGUUAAAGUCCAACACUUUUGGUUGGGUUUUAGGAUUGGAUUUUGAUUAAUUCGGUUGCGUUUUAAUUGGUAAAAAGUUGGGUUGACUCGCUUCAUUUUCUUGGACUUCCGAUCGGGCCAAGUGGUCUUGGCCCAAGGAGAAGUCAGAAAAUGGCCUAGUACCCUGAUUCAUCAAGAAACUAGAAAUUUGAAAUUCUGGGACCAUUCUGUAAAAAUAUUUGCAAAUACUUGGGUACUACCGUACUAGGCCAAGUACUUUGAUUUUUUUCAAUUAGGUCUCUAAUUUAAUUGUAAAUAGGUUCUUUAACUUUAUUUUUCUUCAAUUUUGACCCCUAAUCUUUAUGAUAAUUACAAAUUGAUCCCUAAAGCUUUCUUAAUUUUGUCAAUUAGGUCUCUACUUGUUUUAAUUUUCGUGAAUAAAGGUUGUUUUCUUUCAUUUAAAUGGUUUAAUUAAUCAAUUUCAUUUCUUUACAUGUUAAUACUUUUAUUUAUUAAUUAAAUUGGUGCCUUGAUGAUUUUUGUUAAUUUUGGAGUUAAAUAGGGCAAUCCAAUCCCCCAUUAGCUACUACUUCAAAGGGAGGUAUCCUCUUAUGUUAUCUUUAAAUCCUUUUAUGUGCUCCUAUGUGAUUUUAUGUGUGUAAUUACCUGUUUUCUUUUGAAUUUUUUUAUUUUAUUUAUUUAUUUAUUUAUUCACUUUCUUUGUUUUUAAUUUUGUAUAAUUUAAUGUUUGAUUAUUUGAGAGGCAUUUAGAUACCAAAUUGUAAUAGUUAGGGUAUUCAAGACAUGUAUUUAGAUAGAAUAUGUAAUAGUUAGGUAGUUAUUUUAUUAUUUUAUUCUUUCCCCCUUAGAUUGUAGUUAGGUCCCCAAAUGUAAUAGUUAGGUCUCUAUUUGCUCUUAUUUGUUUUGUGUGUUCUUGCAUGUUUGUGUGCUUAUGUAUUACUCGCUUUCCUUAGGCCCUUUGCAUCUAGAUAUCAUACUUAUGUGUUAUGUAUUUUAUGUGAUUUAUGUGUUUACUUACUUUUAUUAUAUUUUAUAUGAUUUGUUUAGUUAUAAUACAUGUAUGACGUCACCACACUAGUCCAACACUAGUUGCGGCCCUUUUUCCCGUUUUCUCGCUAGUCCAAUGCUAGUGAGAAUUUAGAGACAUGGGCUAGUCCAACGCUAAACCCUUAGGGACCGUCCACGCGCUAGAUCAUGUUUGUAUGAUAAAUCACCACAUUUCAUGCAUAUUUUCCACUUUUUAGGAUCCUUACCAUUUUUGCUUGAUAUUCCCUCUAUACGUAUAUCCCUUAUCCCUAUGUGUGAAACAUAACAUUUAGAUUUGCAUUCUAUUUAAGAGAAUUAAAGCUAGAUUAGAUCAUUUGCUUGAUUAGAUAGGGAAAAUUGCCCCACAAAUAUGGGAUAUGGACGAGUAUGGCUCUCUAGCCUUAGCACGCUCAUAUUCCCUCUAUUAAAGGGAAAAUUAAAGUCAUGAAUAUUAGUUCCCCGCACCCAAUAUGAUGCAUUCCCUUAGGUCAUGUAUAUUUGUAUAUUAUUAUUUUUCUUCGAGUCUCACUUUUGCAAAUUUUGUGACCUCUUCAAAGAGUCACUUUUGGACAUCGCAAUUAAUGCGAUUUGCAUCAAUCAAGUUUUGAAGAGACAUAUUGACCCUUCCGAUAUACAUUAGGUCUAAGUUCGCAUGCAUAUAAUAACAUUCGAGUGUGAUAAGUUUUAAGGUUAAAUUAAGAAAAUUUUUUGACUAAAUCACGUAACUAGCCUUGGCUAGAUUGAAAAGGUGCCUUGGAUUUUAUCCUUACUUUCCCUUUCUUCAACUGUGACUCCCGAACCUUUGUCUCUUGAUUUUCGAAGGCUUGGAGUCGUUUAAAAAGGGUUUUUUCUAUUUUUUUAUUUAUUUAACUCAUUUUAGGUGACUUGGUACACCUUAACUCAAUACCAAGUGACGAAUCCUAUUUUUGGUUAAAAACCCUUUUUAAACUAUUAUUUUGGGUCAAAAUCGUCGCACUUUUAAGUCACAUUUUAGGCCCUUUUUCUUUAUUUAUUCUCUACAAAUCAAAAAUUCAUUUUAUAAACCCGUAAGUUUAUUUUUUAAAAAAAAAAAAUGGGGCACGACAAUACUUACCAGCUACAAGAGCAUAUAUUACUUUUCUUUUUUGGUAUGAGUUUAUCUGCUGAUUAACCUGCUUGCUUCACUGAAACAACUGUUUAGGCUCCAUUAGUGAGAAACUGCAACUUGUGAUUGUGUCAAUGUAACUGCAAUUCUGCUACCAAUGUCUCAAUCUAUUCAAUGACACAUCGCCUAAACCUCAACAAGGACAGGAAUUCAUAUAUAUAUAUAUAUAUAUAUAUAUAUAUAGAGGGAGAAAGAUUCUCCUGGUAUAUACCAAGGGUUUCCACACAACUUAUCCCGUACAUAAUCACUUGAGUUGCAUGUAUUUGAUUCUCCAGCCUGCCCCAUUUUCUCGGUUGCGAAGCUUGUGUUAGAAUUAGUCUUUUCAAAUGCCAUGAGUUUCUGUCACGUCAUCAACAGCAAAGCAUUGUAGUUGCAUUUAGGGACAAAUCUUCUAAACUCUGAUUAAGUUAGGCUUGUGAAGUUACUAGUCUGGCAAACCACUAUGACUCAAGUACUUCUUGAAACCAUAGGAAAAACAUGUAAAUUGGAAAUAUGUGGAACACUUUCUUCACUGUUGCAAAGAUUUAACAUAUAUGUGCAUAUGACAACAUAAAUUUAUCAGACAAGACCAGUACAGGGAAGGGGUUGUCCACAAUCUAAAACCAUCAUAUGAACCUGUCGAUGCAGUAUUACUGUGUUUCCUCCACCCCUGUUUAGCUCAUUCACUGAUCACCUGUUCCACCGGGGGAAACCGAACUCUCCAUGUAAAUAAGGCUUGUAGCCUAAGUGGAAGCCCAUAAACAUUGUACUUCUAAUUUCACCUCCUUCCUCAUUGUCCAGGAGUGCACAUGAGCCUGAUUGCCCACUGAUAAUUUCAAGAAGUAGUUUGUACAUUGAAGACAGGGUAUGCACAUUGAAAAGGCCCUAUGGUAUAUCUUCUAGUCCAAGACUCUUCCACACCACAAUCUAUCAUCAUCCAUGCAUCAAUGAAUUGCUCUACAUAUUCUCUUACAUAUCCAUCACCAACGCAGUAAUAUUCUUCCAUUUCAGAUGCUUCUGGCCAUGGGAAUCUUAUCAAGGUAAGUGUACUGUUCAAGACGAUGGGGUCCUUGGGCGAUUUUCAGCAGAAGGACAAUUUAUUUCACUCAAUACCUUAGUGCUGAUGUCAAAAGAAAGGUUCAGGUAAGAUUGUUCAUCCAUGGCAAACUAGUGGAUGGAUGUGUUAUUACAUAAGACGGGGUCAGAUAGGAAAUGCAUGAUUGUGGGCCUGAUGAAGGUUUCAAUAUCUAUCCAACAAUUUGUGUUGAGAUUGUAAAUUUCGAAUAUGUUCUUGUAAAAAUCAAGCCCAUCUUUCGGGAUACACAUAAGUUUGAAAUUCUUAUAUUUGUCAGUAGUUUGGUCAAACCCAUCCCAUACCAUUUUUCUCAUAAGAGAGCCCAUUCAGGUUACCAAAAGGCCUAAGAGGUAGUUUUCUGAAUUCACGGGUUGCAAGAUAACACAAAUAAAUAUCGUCACCCUCCAAAUUGGAGACACAAAUGAUCCCAUUACAAUUUAGGAGGGCUAGUUAAAUUAACAUUUUCAUAAUUCAACUCAGCUGGAACCUCUGAAUCAGGGCCCUAAACCUGGAGAUUUUCUGAUCGAUCAUCACCUGAACAGAAUGAUAAGAUCACUUCGAUCUUGUUCUGGAUGAAAUGCUUGACCACGAUAAUAUAAUUGUCCUCUUUGUUCUUGGCGCGGCUGAGAUGCAUUUCAAUGAAAUGGGGUUCUGAUACAAUUACUGAAAAAUAAUAAGAGAAGCAAGGACUAGACUUUAUUUCUUUGUAAAUCUGAUACACAACUCAUAACGUGAAACUGCUCUAUUUAUAGAGUUCAAAACAACUCCACUAAUUUCACUAGUCACUCCACUAACUCCACUAACUAGGUAGGACAAAACAAACAAACAUGAUUAACUAAAAAUAAGUGAAUAUUUCUAAUAAUCCCUCCCUUAAAUUGAAAGUUUUCCAAACAUUUAGUUAAAUAGAACUUAUCAACUGCACAGAUUCCAAACAACUUCCUUAGUUUCUGAAACGUGGAUAACUUCAAUGGUUUGAUAAUUAUAUCAACAACCUGAUCUUCACUUUUGCAGUGGAGAAAAUCAAUUAUUCCAUCUCUUAUGAGCUCCCUUAGAAAAUAAAAUCUCACAUCUAUGUGCUUGGUUCUUCCACGUAGAACUGGAUUUUUAGAGAAUUUGAUGAUAGAACUAUUGUCACAGUAAAUUGUAGUAGUUCCUUCUUGCUGAAAAUGCAACUCUUUAAGAAUAUUUCUUUCCUCUCCCUUCUCCCCCUUCCCCUCCUUCCCCCCAAUCCCAAACCCCUCUCCCACUCGUGUGUGGUGGCCGCAACUUUAGCCACCACUCUAACCAUGACUGUUUUGGUUAGGGAUGGCAACGGGGGCGGGGGGGAAUUUUUUCCCCCCGUUUAAAAACGGGGUCACCCGUUUGAAAUAUAUAUAUAUAUGUACAUAAUUAUAUAUAAUGAUAUUAUCAAUUAUACUACUAAUUAUACAUGUCUAUUAAUAAAAAUUAUUAAUUAUUUAUACUAAAUUUAUUAAUACAUUUAUGUUAAAUUCCUAACUACACUUAAUACAAUAACAUUUUUUUCUAAAAAAAGACACAAUAAUAAUUUAGUGAUUGUAUUUGUAUCGAAAGUGAAAACUUGAUUGUUUUAGUUAUAUUUGUUUUAUCAUAUUAAAUUGUAUUCAAAUAACUUUUGUUUAAUUAUUUUUAUGAGUUUUAAUUGUGAAAUUACAAUGAAUAAUAAUUUGGUGAUGUGUUGUGUGACAGCCCCACCUUCCCCUAAGGCGAACCAAAGGGGUUAGCGGACUGCCUGCCUAUCUCUCGCCAGGACUAACGGUGCAGUUUAAGAGCGAUCUAUUGCGUUCCGGAACUUAUAACGCGCGUAAACAAGACAAAAGGGCAAAAUAACCCAAAAUAAAAGAAAUGAAAUCCGGAGUCGGCCAUGAAUAGUAACCGACCCGUCCGAACCCAACCAAACCUCGAAAUACAUCUACAACAUAACAUUAAGCAUUUACAAGCCAAAAUGGCAUUUAAAAGUGAUACAAAAGUCACUACAUAUGUGGUUUGCCAAAACAGAAGUGAAAACGGCCCUAAUGAUACAUUUAGGGUCCCAUUUUAUAUACAAUACAAAAGAGACAUUCAUCUAGUUCAUUCGGCAAUCAUUUAUCAAAAUUCAUUCCAAAAGAGUCAUAUUCCUGUAAGAAAAACAAAAGGAACGGGGUGAGCUAAAUGCCCAGUGAGAGUACAACUCAAGCAACCAAGUUCAUAGAUGCAUCAAGCUUAACAGUCCAAUUUACCAAAUAUAAGUAAAGCCACACAUCAAUAAUGAGGAUAAAAGGAUACGGGUGGCUCUCAAGAGCCCUUUUCCUCGUUUGAAUUCUUGAUCGGGUUUCAUUGACUCUCCGUCAAUGUUUGAAAAGUAACCAACCGUAGACCCACUUAACUUCCAUUCCUUCCACCUAACAUUCCUCAACCGGGCCCGAAAUCCAAACGCUUGCUUUGUGGUAUUAGUCGAGUAAACCGGAAUCAAGAGUCUCUCAUACUACAAGAUUCCAUAUAACGUUGCCCCAAGGUGCAUUAAUUGGCACGACCAAGCCCUCGCCGGCUCGAUUCAAUCAAUUACCAAUGGGGAUUGAGCUCAUGGAUAAUAUUUGAAGUCGUGGAGACUCGUCCAAACGACAUCAAGUCAUGUAUUUCAUUUCAUGUAACAUUUCAUAUAACAUUCCAAUAACUUUCCAAUAACAUGAGAAACAACAAGUGAGAGUGAUAAAGUACACUUUCACUUCAAGUAAUUAACAUUCAAAGCACCAAGUUCAAGUAGCAAAGCCAUAUAAUAGCACACAAGUGAGUAGUACACUCACCAAGCUAGCACAAUGUGGUUUCAAGCACUUUAGUCAAAAGAACGUUGUGCACCACCGUCACGCCCUAAAACAUGCAAACAAAUACAAUGAGACUCGAUAACGAGUCAUAAACCAAGGCCAAACAUGACCCCAAUAGGAUUCCAUAAGCAUAUAUAAACAUUAAAGGAAACCAGAAAUUUUGGAAAUGUAACUAGCUUUGGCCCUGAAAAAAAAACAGUUUUGACGUCAUUUUGCGGUAAGGGCACCAAUUUCACUACGCUUAUCGGAUGAGGGUGCAAGACCCACCGUUUCGAAGCUAAGAGACAGGGCUACAACAUCACAGAAGGUCACUCAACCCAGUUUUGAGUGUAAACAGGUAAAAAAUACAAGAUACUACAUUAAAAUCGUAAAACAGAUUCACCAAAACGUAUUCUAGCGGAAACAUCAUAACUCAGGUUCUACAUGUCCAAAUCCAGAAAUUCCAAAACCAGAUGAAAGCUAACAAACAGGGUUAAAUUUCAUCAGAAGGCCUCAACACCCAAUUCGGAAGUAAUCUCAACCAAAAUAACCAAUUACAGUCGCAAAUCCCAAGUUCGGGUAAAACAGAACAGCAAUAGUAUUUUCAACUUUUCUCACUCUACACAACUCCGAUUGACCUGAAAUUUUGUAGAAACCUCUAAAAUAUCAUUCUCUACAACUUUCAUGUUUUGAGCUAAGGCCAAUUCGGCCUCUAUCUAGUACCUAAAAAUUCGGACAGAAUGCCCCCUUAAGAACCCUAGAUUUUCCAAUUUUCUUCCAAAAUAGAAAUUAGUUGCAAUUAAUCACUUUUCCCACCUCCUAUAGUCAUUAUAAACCAUAUCCAAUCAUCAUAGAUAGCCACACCAUCAUGCUUCUAUUAAAACAGAAAUUUCCCCAAAAUUAAUAAAAAGUCAUCAUUUCAACCACAAAUCAAGAAUUAAUCCAUAAACUUGCAUCUUCUACUUCCACUAAGCAUGAUUUGAGCAUCAAUUAAAGGAGGAGGGUGGUUCUUCACAACUUACCUUUACAACAAGAGAGAGAGAACUAUGGACCACCUUAACUUUCCAAAUAACUUCACCAAUCACCUCAAAAUCACUAAGUGGAGGAGUUUUAUGGAACAAUUGGAAGAUUAAUCGGUUGAUUUGAGAGAUUGAGCAAGAUUGGAGACCAAAAUUGUAAAGAGUUUCUUUCCUUUGAGCUUC
rnacentral:lncRNA from 1 species